rnacentral:rRNA from 1 species
GAUGAACGCUGGCGGCGUGCCUAAUACAUGCAAGUCGAGCGGCAGAACGGGGGCCUUGUCCCGAUGGCGUGAGCCGCACGCGGGUGAGUAACACGUGGACAAGCUCCCUAUGAGCGGGGAGCCACAUGUGGAAACGAUUGCUAAUACCGCAUACAAACUUUAAACACAGGGUUCCAGUUUGAACGAGGGCAUUGCAGUACGCAGAUGGCUGAUUAGCUAGUAGGUGGGGUAAAGGCCUACCAAGGCGACGAUCAGUAGCCGGUCUGAGAGGACGACCAGCCACACUGGAACUGAGACACGGCCCAGACUCCUACGGGAGGCAGCAGUGGGGAAUCUUGGACAAUGGGCGAAAGCCUGACCCAGCAAUGCCGCGUGUGUGAAGAAGGCCUUCGGGUUGUAAAGCACUUUUGUCAGGAAAGAAAUCCUUGGCCAUAAUAAGGUCGGGGGAUGACGGUACCGGAACAAUAAGCACCGGCUAACUACGUG